UUACACAAUAUUUGUCAAAUUAGAUUCACGGAAAUCAAUGAGCUGAGCAUCGGGUUUUAUAGGUCUCGUUACACAAGUGCAUAAAAUGACGGAUGAUUAGCAGAUCUUGCACAAAAAGGGAACAAGGAAAUCGGGAAGUGUUUAAUUAGUUAUUUAUUUAAUAGGACAUACGUACUUUUUUUUUUCCAAGAUUUCCAUAAUAUGCAACUGAUUUAUGGAAAUUAACGAGCUCCACCCCACUAUGUAUAGGCCAGGGAGGUAAUACUUAGACAUGGGAUUCAAGAAAACAAAGUGCAACACUUGAACUAGUCCUGCAUGGACAUAAUUAAAAUCCACCACCACUACCACCACCUCCUCCGAAUCCUCCACCGCCUCCAACGCCUCCGCCUGCUCCACCUCCUACACCCGCUCCAGCACCAAAUCCACCACCAUGUCCAAAACCUCCUCCGAGGCCUCCUCCUCCUCCACCACCUCCACCUCCACCACCACCGCCUCCACCACCACCUCCAAUGCCACCUCCUACUCCGCCACCUGCUCCAAAACCUCCCCCAUGGCCAGAACCGCCACCGACACCACCUCCUUGGCCGCCGCCUCCUCCAGCACCUCCACCAAUGCCUCCUCCGACACCUCCUCCUGCUCCAAAUCCACCACCAUGACCUGACCCACCCCCAAUGCCACCACCUUCACCACCGCCAAACCCUCCUCCUCCACCAACUCCGCCACCUGCACCUCCGCCAACACCACCUCCAGCUCCAAACCCACUGCCACCACCAACUCCUCCGACUCCAAAUAACCCUCGUCCUUUCCUUCCCCUACCACUACAACCCCUCCUACCAAUUCCACAACCAUCUUCCUUCAAUUCUUUGUUAAGCUUGCCAUCACCAAGAGUUGUUACACUCAACUCUAACACAAUGCUCAAGAGAAGAAGAAACACAAAGACACAUUUUCUCGAAGAUGAACCCAUAUUGCUAACAAGGUUCACACUUCGCAGUUCAAUUUGGCGUGCUCUAUUGCACCCCAAGACUUGGCAUUUAUAUAGGCUUCACCUUACUAGCGAAAGUGCCAAGAUUGUCAAUACACCGUUAAUGUAAGCAUUAAAAAUUCUUACUCAACGCGUCACAGCCGUUGGGGAGAUAUGGCGGGAGCCAUUAAUUAAUGAAGUGACCAUCAAAGUCAAUCUCUGAUGCAUCUUUGGAGCAUAUUUUCAAAUCUGUUGACAAAAAAAAAAAAAAGGAAAAGUAUUACUGAGUCGGUGUUUCUCAUGCAUUCAAGUGUAAGAAUACAACUUCUUGUUUUUUACAGACAUAACUUGCAUAUUACCUUUCAAAUUGCGCAAGUUAAUUUCAACCCACUUGGCACAAAUAUUUAGAGCUUUGCUUGCACAGCAACCAAAUUUAUUAGCCACCUGCAUAUCUGCUUGUGAUGGACUCAUGAUAAGCCACGACAUCAAGUAUUUUACCAUGCUACAACGUGCAAGUAGUAAUAUUUUUUUUUCCCUUUUCUUGCUCUUGUCCUUGGCGCUGAGAUCAUUGAGAAGGCAGCAGUCUUUGCAUAGAGUCCUACAUUGCUGAUUACAACUCCAUUGUUGAACAACGAUGCAUUACGUGUCUUGAGACGACUAGGGAUGGCCAAAAUGGCCCGUAUUUCUGGUGGAGAUUUUCUGACACGAUUUCAGUAUUUUCUCCAAUUCUGGCAACAUCUCCAAUUAUAUAUCCAAAAUUGUGCUUGCAAAAUAAUAGGAAGAAUGGCCAUGACACACAACAUUCUUGUUGGUUAAGACACUUUUUUUUUUUUUUUUUUUGCUUUUUGGGGGAUUUUGACAUAUGAUACUCUAGAGCUAUCACUUCGGCAUCAUUUCUUUUUCAAAUGUACCUUUUAAUUGAAUUACAAACUUUGCAAUGGUUGUGCUAAUAAUUUUUUUUCUUUACAAAGGGAAUUUUCUAUAACUCUCGGAGUUGUAAUUUCACGUAAAAUUGUCCCUUAGACAACAAUUAUGGUUGUGGAAAACAACUAACGCAAUUUUAAGUUGUAAAAGAUGUUACUCUUGACGGCUAAAAUGGCUCAAGUAGUCAAAGAGAUUAAAGACAACUACUAGUUGAGAACUAAGCUCGGAACUUGUGGUUCGGGGAGGUUUUUGGUUUAUAAAGUCAAUGGAAAGUGAUUGAAGGAAAUGGCAUUAACAUUAUUACAUAGAAGAGGAUGGAUUCGUCAAAAUUGUGUGUGUGUGUGUGUGUGUGCAGAUUUAUGUGUAUUGAGAGAUGUUGUAAACUAUUAUCCUGUUAUCCAUGAUUAUUAUAUAAGUAGAAUUUCUUCGUAGCAUUUAUUAAAGAUAUAUCUUACAACUAAUUUAGUUAACAUUAACUCAGUCUUAAAGGCGAAGAAAACUGUCUUUCUUUCCCAUUGGAUAAUACGCUCAUUGAAGUCAACUAACCAGUAUUUGUUUGACCUUAAUUUUGGGGCAUGGUGACUAUAUACAGUCUAUAGAACCAGUGAUCAAUUGGCAGUCUUUAUUUGACAUUUUGCGUGUAGAAUCAUUUGUGGAUUACUUUUGAAAAAGUAAUCAUCAACUUGAGGCACUGCUGCGAAAUCUCCUGCAUCUCUUAUUUUGACAAUAGUCGGCAGAAAAUUCCAAUAAGACAUAUUGAAAAAUGAAAAAAAAAAAAAAACGCUGGAGCAGUAACUCGUUCAUUAAAGUUGGUAAUCUAUUUGGACUAUAGUUGCAUCAAAGACGCUGCAAUUUUCGAAUGUUAUGAGAUCAUGAGACUGUUUGCUUUUCAUGGAUAGGUAUAUCUAAAAUUUUAGAGAUAUGAUUAGAAUUAAAUUGAGAGACAAACUUUUAUCAAAAUUAUGAAAUACUAUAAUGGUUCAUAAGCGCCUGUAGCUCUCAAAGUUAUAAACGUAUGUAAUCCUAAUAUGUUCUAAUCCAUUAUAACCUGUCAAUUGCCAAAACAAUUUUCUCUUGAUCCUACACCAAAUCUAGCUCCUGCCUCAAGUCAAUUAAGUCACUAGAGGCAACAGCAAAAUUUCUAUUAGCUCCAAGAAUGUUGGCAUAUUAAAUCAAGACUCAAAAUUAGAAAUUUUUUAUAUUGUUAUUUAGUAGUGUUUCAGUUAAGUUAGGGUUUUAGUAAAUCUAUUGGAGUCAAGUUAUGGUAGUUUCAUUGUUUAGAAAUGAAUAUUUUAUUAGGAAAUUUCUUAUGGUUAUAAGGCUUGUUUACUAAGUCAUGUAGUUUAUAAAUAGGGAGUCUUAUUAUUAUUGUCAGUUGAGAAGAGCGAAGGAUUGCCCAGUCUGGGUUCGGUCCGGUGGUUGUAGCCCAGUUGGGUGAGAGCCACCAACCAAGGAUCGAAUCCCAGUCGUUACCAUUGACCGAUGAUGUCGGGCAGCCUCUCGCGGUCACGCAGUGGGAUUAGUUGGGGCGUACGGUAACCAGUCCUCGGCCCCAGAUACCCACUGUGAUGAAAAAAAAAAAAAAAAAAGAGAAGAGCGAAGGAUUAAGAGUCUUGUUCUUAUGAUCUGAGUAAUAGAUUAUCAUUGAUAUUAUUCCUCUUCUUCCACACAUAUUUUUAUGUGUGUAAAUUGCCUCUCCAUAUGCAUUGAUUUUAUGAAAUAUAUCUCCUAUAUAUUUUUGGUGAAUUUUUUUAGUUCUACAAAGAAGCACUCUAAUUCUUGCUCACCUGCCACUGCUCCUUUCCGACCAAAAUCACAAUCACCAUUGCCACGUGCGAUUGCACUCAAGUCCAAGGCAAUGCUCAAGAGAAGAAGCAACACACAAAACCAUCGUUGAGAGAAACGCAUAUUCUUUACAUUAACUGACUCAAAAGGAUUGAAGUUAAAAUCUACGUAGUACUAAAGAUUGUCCUCCCAGUAUAAAUAUAUCUGCUUCGACGUAUAUGAUUUCUCAGUGUAUUCAUUUUAAAGCAUUAUGAAUCGCAGCCUUUUUAUUUGUUUUUAUUUUCAACAAAAAAGAAAAAUAGCUGAUUGGUCUUAGUGAGGGCAAGUUGCAUUUCCUUGAGUGUAAGACUAUUUGUCAAGUAAAUUUCCAAAUUAGUCUAUUUUUUGUUCCAUUGUCCAUGGUCGCUAUUUGUAUUUAAUCAUGAAGAUAGAACCAAAAAUAAAAAUAAAUAAAAAUAAAAGAUUAGGGUAAAUAUUAGGGUAAUUUUGGUGCCUAACAACCUUUUAGGAUGCAACAAACCCAGAAUAUUGAAUAUUGUCCAGUUAUAGUUGUUUCUUAUUUAUUGAAUAUUGUGGGUCAUAUAUAGGGUGUUUAGCCACUGUAUUCAAUUGUAAAGAGUGAGAGACAAAAUUAAUAGAUACUAUUCAGACUUUUGGGAGUUCUAAAAUUAGGGUGGAUUUGACUCCCAUUAACAUUUCAAGUCAGGGCAUGCCAAUAGAACUAUAAAUCAUUUAUAAAGACUCUUACAGUCGCUCGCCAACACAUGUUUACGGGAUCAUAAGUCAUUUAUAGAAAUUCUUACGUACCGCUCAUCAAUACAACUCUCACAUCGACAGUCGAAUUCAAACAUACAACCUUUUGUGAAGAAGUGACUUAUCCUUGUCAAUUGAACCCACUUGUAGUGGCAAUCAAAUCCAUCUACAUUCAAUGUCCCAUGUUUGCCAAUAUAGGAAUGCCAUUGUCAACUCAAAUAAUUGCUUGCACCCAUGGAAAUAAUGUUUUAGGCUGUUUCUUCAUUUCAAUUGGAAUCAGAACUGAAAUCUUGCAAGUUGUGAUCAAAAUUUUCUUAACAAUUGUCUUUAGCAAAAUGCAUAGAAUUCAUUCUUUUCGAGUUCCAUAAUUUGGUUCAAAUAUUUCGCAUGUACUUUAGAAUUGAGCCUCAUAGAGCUAAUAGUAACAAUUUAUUAAUGGGCCAUAGAACCUGGUUAAGACCAAAAGGAAAAAAAAAAAAAAGAACAGUUUAGUUUUGUAAAAAGAAGGAAUAAGCGCCCUAGAGACAAAAUCAGCAAGCAGUGAAAUCCAUUAAACAAAAGACUGGAAUAAGCAGGUAUAAUUUUGAAGAACCAAAUGAGGUCUAAAUUUUUCAGUAGUUUCACAUCUUUUUGGUUUGUCAGUAAAUUUUUCUGUAAGAAGGAUUUUUUUGCAAGCUAAAAUAUGUUAAAGAUCGAAUUCGCUCAGUAUUUGUCAAAUUCCAUUCUGGGAAAUCAGUGAGCAGCAUCAGCUUUUGACUCCAAAGGAUAUACAAUUGGCUUUUGGAGAUCAAAUACUAUCAAAUACUACCCAUAGAAGUGUCUACACCAAUUGGUAAACUAGCUUUUGUCUUGCUUAAUAUAUUUGUCUUUCAAUAAGCCAUGAGAAUUAAUAAUUCUGGGAACAUAUUAAUAUGAUAUUAUUCAAACUAUAUUACUAUUUCAGUUUAUUCUAACUUCAGUAAUUGUGAAAACUUUUCGCCUUAACCAGAAUGGAUGUUUCAAAAGAAGAAGAAGAAGAAGAAGACUAGAAGACUAGUAUCAGAUCUUGCAUAAAAAGGAAACAAGGAAACGUUUAGUAGGGCAUGUAAAUCAUGCAUUAAUUGUUUCUCGAACAGGACCUACGUCCUUUUAUCCAAAAUUUCCAUAUUAAAGGAAAUCAACGAGCUCCACCGAACCAUAGACUAGGGUGGUGGUAAUACAUACGUUCAAGAAAACAAAGGACCAAGGUUGAACUAAUCCCAGUAGACAUGUUUUAGUUUCCACCACCACCACCUCCUCCUCCGAAUCCUCCACCGCCUCCAACUCCUCCACCUGCUCCACCUCCUACACCUCCUCCAGCACCAAAUCCACCACCAUGUCCAGAACCUCCUCCAGCUCCACCUCCAAUGCCACCUCCUACUCCACCACCUGCUCCAAAACCUCCACCAUGGCAAAAACCGCCACUGACACCACCUCCUUCACCACCACCACCGCCACCGCCACCGCCACCGCCGCCGCCGCCGCCACCGCCUCCUGCACCUCCACCAAUGCCUCCACCUACUCCUCCUCCUACUCCAAGUCCACCACCAUGACCUGACCCACCGCCAACACCACCACCUCCACCACUGCCAAACCCUUCUCCACCAACUCCGCCACCUGCACCUCUACCAACACCACCUCCUGCUCCGAACCCACCACCCUUUCCAGCACCACUACCAACUCCUCCACCUUUACCACCUCCAAAACCUUCUCCAUCCCUGCACCACCACAACACCGCCUCCGGCUCCAAACCCUCCACCUUUUCCAACACCACCACCAACUCCUCCACCUUCACCGCCUCCAAAACCUCCUCCACCCCUUGCACCACCACCUACUCCACUCCCUGCACCACCACCAACACCACCUCCAGCUCCAAACCCUCCACGUUUUCCAGCACCACCACCAAUUCCUCCACCUUUACCGCCUCCAAAACCUCCUCCGCCACCUGCAGCUCCACCAACACCACCUCCUGCUCCAAACCCACCACCCUUUCCAGCACCACCACCAAAUCCUCCACCUUUACCACCUCCAAAACCUCCUCCACCACCUACUCCACCCCCUGCACCACCACCAACACCACCUCCGGCUCCAAACCCUCCAUUUUUUCCAGCAGCACCACCAACUCCUCCACCUUCACCGCCUCUGAAUCCUCCUCCGCCACCUGCACCACCACCUACUCCACCCCUGGCACCACCACCAACACCAACACCAACACCACCUCCUGCUCCAAACCCUCCACCUUUUCCUGCACCACCACUAAAUCCUCCACCUCCACCACCUCCAAACCUCCUCCAACUCCACCUAACCCUCGCCCUUCCUUUCCCCUACUACCACAGUUUCAUGACACCAAAGCAUUAGCUUUUACAUGCAUUACUACAGCAGUGAUUAUUAAUAUCAUUAAACUUUCAAACAGGAAAAUAGGCAAAAAAAAAAAAUGUACUCCAUGUUUCUCAUUACAACCGUUUGCAUUCCACUACAAAAUUGGCCAAAGUAUCAAAAGGGCAAAAACUAGAGGUCCUUGUGCUUGGCCUUCGUCAUUAUCUAUUUAGUCGAAUUAAUAUUAAAUAUAAUUAAACAAUCCAAAAGAGACAAAUCAAUAAAUCUUUCAUCCUGGCAUUCAUAUUUGCAAAAAUACAAUAUUUAUUGAAGUAAUAUAAACUAUCUGUGUGCAUAUUUGUACCUUCACAAUCACUUAUUAUAUAAAUGUCAGAAUCCGAAGAAUCUGUACGGCCUUGUUCAUCAUCAUCAGAGCUCUCUAUAUAUUGAACAAUAUCUUUUCCUGCAUCCACAUCAUAAUCAAAAUUCAGCCCAGAAAAAAAAAGGACACGUCCUUUGAAGAAGAAUUCAAAAAACAACAAUAAGCAUCUAUAAAUCUAUUUCCUCAAAAAACCCAGAAAUAUGAAAGCUAAAAAAAAGAAUCCCAUUUCGAUUUUAAUGAACCAAAUGAUCAAGCAAAGAGUAGUAGAUAAGGAAAUAAAGAAAGACAAACAGCAAGUCAGCAACCAAUAAACAGCAGGGUUCUUGGAACGGUACCUUUUGAAGCUCGAGAACGGAGAUUCAUCCCUAAAACAAGAAGGAAAAUGAAAAGUAGGAUUAGGGAUUUUCUGGGUUUUCCAAAUUAGAACGAAAAUUUGGGUUUUCUUGACUUUGAAGAAGAAGGGGGAAAGGGGUCACUCAACAGUCGUGUGCGUGUUUUCGGCUUAGUUUGGGAGUUUAUGAAGGAAGAGAAAAGAAAAGAUAGCUUAGGAAAGAAAGGAAGAGAAGGGAAAAGAUGCAUAUUUCGUUUGGGAGUUUAAUGAAAGAAAAGAAAAAAAAUAUCUUUCUUUUAUUUGAGAGUUGGAGAGAUAUGGAAAGAAAGGAUUUUAUGAGAAUAUAACUUUACAUAUUUGCCCUUUCUAUUUGUAAAUCAAAGUCCAAAAAUUAGCUUUCUUGUUCCCAUAAAUAGAAUAUUUGGACAAGACAAAUUUCUAAAACAAUUGCAUAUACAUUCCCACAUGGUGAAUAAUACAACAAAUUUCUUGCUGGACUUCGAUUCUCUUGCAUGCAUGUAAAUCGCCUCAAGUCCUUGUAGUGUCUUUUAGGUAUUCUUGACAUAUGAUUUUGAUAUUGACCGGAAAUGCCAUUAUACAUGUUUCAGCUAGUGUUUUUGCUAAGUUGAAACUCAAGUUUACCACUAAUUAUUCGAUUAUCUCAAUCUUCACUUCUUCACCACUUGAUCCAUCCUAAUGUUUAUAAAAUUUUAUUUGUUGAUGGUUAAUGCACUGACAAGCAUGACGUUUGGCAUUUAAUAUUGAAAGUUUUCAUCAUUUGAUCUUUUUUUUUGUUUUUUUUAAAAGAAAAAUCAUUCCAAUAAACGUAUUUGAGAGUAAAUAUCAAAUAAGAACUUGGGACUCUCAAAUAGCCAAUACGUUCGGGGGAGCCUGGGGACUUUGGCUCAACUCCAGAGUAACCACAUCCCACAACAGCUACACGUAUUUGAGAGUCCUUACCAAAGUUCUGGCGCUCUAAUGCUCUAAGUUUUUCAUCAACCAUCUGAAUUUCAAGAAGACCAAGACAAUACCAAUUAUUCUAAUUUACAUGCUGCAUUACUGUUUGAAGUAAUUACUGAAUAACUAAUGCUCAGUAGUACAUAUACUAACGCGAGCAUCUUCAAGAGUAGAAAAUGGCAAUGCAUACUCUGCAGCACCAGGCACAGAUUCAAGCUUUGCCUAAGCACCUAGUGCAAGUACCAACCUGGCUGCCCAAGCACAAAAAAACUAACAAUUUAGUACAGUCCAAUUCAUUCAUCCACACCGCUACCUCUGCCAGGAACAUAUAAACAUAGAUAAAAUAUUUUACUCAAAAAAGAAAGAGACUUUGGUUGUUAGCAAGAACCAAUAAGUGUGUUUAUUGGUUGAAAGACAAUAUUACUAAGUGUGUUUACUCUGGAGUUGAGCUGGUACCAUAAAAUACAUAAACAAGAUAUACGUGGAAUGCAACCCAAGUCAAUAAAAUGCCAUGCAACCAAGUGAACUCAAAAUAUACAUAAACCAGGUUUACAUGGAAUGCAACUAGGUUUCCUGUAGCAUUCAGAUUUCCGAAUUCACAUGAGCAUUUACUCCUGAUACAAAAUAAUUCUAUCAAUUUCUAAACAAAAAUACACCCAAUGAUCUACAUAUUUUCAAAACAUGAAAUGUCCAGUGGGUAAUUGGAAUCAUCUCCAAUUUCCAAAACUAGCUUAUAUCUUCAAAAGUAUUUGGUUUGGCUGCAUGUCAAGAACCAAUAUCAAGAAAAGCAAUGUGGUGCCUACUAAGAAACCGCCAAAGUUUACAACCCUAUACACACGCACACAGAGAUACAAAGACAUGCGCGUGCAAAAUCCCCACAAUGUAAUGUACCUCCGACAUUUUAAGAGUUAAUCUAACUCACCAUCUCAGUUAUUAUCGGACAAAUUACUUACCAAUUACCAAAUUUUUCCAUAGUAAAACUCACAGUUUCAUGACACCAAAGCAUUAGCUUUUACAUGCAUUACUACAGUAGUGAUUAUUAACAUAAUUAAACUUUCAAACAGGAAAAUAGGCAAAAAAAAAAAAUGUACUCCAUGUUUCUCAUUACAACCGUGUGCAUUCCACUACAAAAUUGGCCAAAGUAUCAAAAGGGCAAAAACUAGAGGUCCUUGUGCUUGGCCUUCGUCAUUAUAUAUUUAGUCGAAUUAAUAUUAAAUAUAAUUAAACAAUCCAAAAGAGACAAAUCAAUAAAUCUUUCAUCCUGGCAUUCAUAUUUGCAAAAAUCAAUAUUUAUUGAAGUAAUAUAAACUAUCUGUGUGUGCAUAUUUGUACCUUCACAACCACUUAUUAUAUAAAUGUCAGAAUCCGAAGAAUCUGUACGGCCUUGUUCAUCAUCAUCAGAGCUCUCUAUAUAUUGAAUAAUAUCUUUUCCUGCAUCCACAUCAUAAUCAAAAUUCAGCCCAGAAAAAAAAAAGGACACGUCUUUUGAAGAAGAAUUCAAAAACAACAAUAGCAUCUAUAAAUCUAUUUCCUCAAAAAAACCCAGAAAUAUGAAAGCUAAAAAAAGACAUCCCAUUUCGAUUUUAAUGAACCAAAUGAUCAAGCAAAGAGUAGUAGAUAAGGAAAUAAAGAAAGACAAACAGCAAGUCAGCAACCAAUAAACAGCAGGGUUCUUGGAACGGUACCUUUUGAAGCUCGAGAACGGAGAUUCAUCCCUAAAACAAGAAGGAAAAUGAAAAGUAGGAUUAGGGAUUUUCUGGGUUUUCCAAAUUAGAACGAAAAUUUGGGUUUUCUUGACUUUGAAGAAGAAGGGGGAAAGGGGUCACUCAACAGUCGUGUGCGUGUUUUCUUGUCUUUCUACGUAAAUCCCAAUUACGCCAGUUGCUACUGAGAUAAAGAUAACGAACAAUUACGGAUUCAAUUAUCCCUAUUUAGCAAAAUAGCCUAUGUGAAUAAUUAAAUAUUGCGCGUCUAUUCAAUCACUCACACGAGCUAUAGCAAUUAAAAGCAGGAAACAUAUAAAUACCAAUAAAUUAAGGAAACAAUUAAAAUAAAUUAGAUCUCACAGUAAUUGUUGAGCCAAGUCUGCAGUUGUCCCCUUGACUAGAAUUAAGAGGUUAGUCCUCCAUUAAUGGAGAACAACCAUGCGAAAAAGCUAAGAAAAGAAAAACUAAAACUAUCGAUUCCUCCCAGUUCUCUGUACGUUUCCCCCUUUUUAAAGCCAAAAGGAAGUCUAAUGCUAUCUCUAGUGGUCCCCACACCAAAUUCAAAGUCUUGUACGUUUCUUUUCCUAGAGUCCAAAUGACUCAUGCUUCUUAUCCGUGGUCCCCGCACAUGUGGACAAAGCCUCCAAAGUACUUGUUGUUCCAAAUCUCUCUACGUUGCUUUCUUUGAAAAGCCCAAAUGACUAAAUGCCUUGCACUAGCUUGUGGUCCCCACCAAUUCAAGGACCCAAAGGUUGAAGCCCUUAGAAGUCUGCAUUUUUCCAUACAAGUCCCUCCUUUUUGGUAAUUUUCUGCUUCACUCCUGAAAUUGAUUCCAAAUACCAAAUAUGAGUAAAUAUCAGCAAUUAACACAAUAUUUGUCAGGGAUAGAAGGGGAAAUCAAUAAUAAAUUUACUAACAAAUUAUACCCUAUCAAAAUUCCACAAAUAUAGUAUAUUAAGAAGCAUAAAAACAAAUGAAAAUUAAACUAACCAAUGGCUGACCCUAUUUGUAAAUUGCAAUUUCAAACCAAAUGUUAAGAUAAUCUCUUGAAGGUCUCACUGUGAACAUAUAUAUUUGUCUCCACUGACAUUUAUGUAACUACAAUUCCAACCAGAUUAGUUUAUAUAUUGAUCACUUUAACAAUCUGAUUAGGUUUAACUUCAAUCCAAUGCUCAAAGUACAUGCACUACCCAGCACAUAGCACAUCACCGCUAACUACCGCUAACACCGCACUUAGCACAGCAUGAAUUUGUACUGGAAAUGAUGCUUGAAAAUUUGAAUGUUCAAUAUUGUUAGAUUUCAACAAGAGAAAAAGACUACAAAAUGAAUCCUACAUAACAAUCUCCAAUGCAAGUACGAGGGUAUUAAAGACCAACAAGGGUAAGAUAGUCAAAAAUAAACAAAAUGAAGGGCAAUAUAGACAAAAGAUAGUAUACCAAACACUUACCUAGUAAACUAAUCAGAAACAAAAAACCAACAAACUUAACCUUCAACCCAAAAAUUUCAAGAACUCCACCUACUAAUGGUGCCCAUAGGGGACCAUUAGCCCUAUUCCUAACUCCCACUCCCCCUCUUUUUUUUUUCCUUGACUUGGACCAAUCAUGUGGGAGGUAACUAUACUUAAGCAAUAGGCACUUUUGUCAUUUCACUUUUUCCAUCAUUUGGAUUUGGAUCUUAAAAAUAAUAGAGGAAGUCAAUCAAAUUUGGCUAAACCAUAAGGGCUAAUUCAUAAUUGGAACCACUCUUCAAGUAAUAAAUGAACCAUGAUGACUAUGUAAUUACUAGGGCCAGUCUAGUGGUUUUGAGAGGACUUUUAGAGUCCAUCUAUUGUGAGGUUCAGAAUUUGAUGUGCACAAUCGAGGGUGGAAGGGUAUGAGAAGGGAUAGAAUGAUUAAAAAAAAAAUCAUUGGGUCAUGUUGGGGUGCAGAUUAGUGUAUUUGUUACAUAAGAUAUAGAAAUAGUUUUCUUUCUUCGAAGGGUCAUGAUGAGACGUGUAUUUAGUUAAUUAUAGGAUCAAUAUUUUGUCGCAUCCAAAUCGGGAGGAAACGGGAAUAGGGUUAAAAGUGAUUAGGCCUAUCAUUGGGUAGUUUCGGGUCGGAAUUGAAUAUUUCGGAUCUAGUCCCUCUUAACUAUACUUGUACUAGAUUUGCUCCAAAUACUCGACGGGUCUUGAACUUAUUCUCUAGGAUCUAGAUUCGAUCAGGUUCAGAUACAAGUCAAGUAUGCCCAACAAAAAAAAAAAUAGGCAAAGAAAUGAAAAAAAUGUCUUUCUAAAAAAACAUUAAUUACACACCACAAUCCCAAUUAAAAAUCACAAAUCACUUUAGAUAAUUAUUCUAAGGCCUACAAAUUACAACUCCUAGAAGAUCCAAACAAAUAUUAAAUACUCAAACAUAUGGUCAAAACAAUUACUUAUUCAAACGUGUUCGGUUCGAACCUAGGUCAAAACUCAAUAUUCCAUAACCAACCUAGUUUUAGAUUAGUAUAAACGGGUCUGGAUCAAAUCCGAGUAAAUAGAAUUAUAACUAUAUCCGUAUCCAAAAAUAUUGAGUGGGUUCGAGUUGGUUCCUGAUCAAAACCUGGUCCGUUGACAGUGACUAAAGGUAAUUAAGGGGAGUGUCAGUUGGGAUCAAGGAGAGGGGAGAAGAAAUGAGUGGCAAGGUAUAGCAAACAGGGUGGCCAGUUAGGGUGAGUGACAGGUGCCGAACCUGUGCAAUAAUAAAUACCUACUCGAGAAAAAUACAGAUUUUGUAUAUAGCGGUGAGUAGGGUCGAAUCCACAGGGACUGGGGAUAAUUCGUUUCUUCUAGAGUCCAAAGUAUGGGGGGUUUUGGAUUAAAUGCUAACUAAAUAAAUUAACUGCAGAAAAUAAUUGAUUAAGAGAAAUAAUUAAGGGAAAACUCUAGCCAAGGGUACACAUUAGAAAUGGUUCAUGCACUGAUCAUUGAUGCAGAAAUAAUUCCAACAUUUAGCAAUAGAUUAGUUAUAGUUGUCAUCCACGCGAUAAACAACCAACCCUUCCUUAAUUUCUCGUUAGCUAAGGUACGACCGUUAGCUAUUUCUCUAACCCAAAAAUAACCCUAGGUACGACCGUAGGAUUUAAUUUCUAGAUUGCAUUAAUAAUUAGAAAGGCCCAAUCCUAACCAACAAACACGCUACGAGGGUUUGUUUAAAUUAGAUCAUAUGCUCCCCUGACAUAAAUCCAAUUACGCCAGUUGCUACUGAGGUAGAGAUAACGAACAAUUACGGAUUCAAUUACCCCUAUUUAGCAAAAAUAGCCUAUAUGAAUAAUUAAUUAUUUCGCACUAAUCAAUCAUACACAAGGCCAUAGCAAUUAAAAUCAAGGAACAUAUAAAUACCAAUAAAUGAAGAAAAUAAUUAAAACAGAUUCGAUCUCACAGUAAUUGUCGAACCAAAUCGUCAGUUGUCCCCUUGACUAGAAAAGCUUAACCACGCCUCAUGAGAAAAUCUCCCCGUUGGGGAAUAUUGUCGAAUACCUGGCGUGUGCCAGAGGCCAGUCCAAAGAAAGAAAACUAGAACUAAACUAAAAAACUAAAACUAAAGCCCUAGAUAUCUUUUGCUUCUGUCCGUUGUCCCCUUUUAAAGCAACAAAAGAAAGAUGACUAAAAGCUAUCUAGGUGGUCCCCACACAUAUGGACAAAGCCUCCCAAGUACUUCUUGUUUCAAGUCUCUCUACGUUGCUUUCUUUGAAGCCCAAAUGACCAAAUGUCUUUCACUAGCUUGUGGUCCCCCACCAAUUCAAGGGCCCAAGGAUUGAAACCCUUAGAAGUCUCCAUAUUUUUCACAAAGUCCUUCCUUUUUGGUAGUUUUCUGCUUCAUUCCUGAAAUUGAUUCCAAAUACCAAAUAUGAGUAAAUAUCAGCAAUUAACACAAUAUUUGUCAGGAAUAGAAGGGAAAAUUAAUAAUAAAAAUACUAACAAAUUAUACCCUAUCAAUUCCCCCCACACCUGAAUCAUGCUUGCCCUCAAGCAUAAGAACAGCAAUUGAACACCAAAAUUUUGACAAUGGCUAUUGCUCUAACUAUCAUAUUGCCAAGAUACCCAGAAAAACAUAUAUCAAGCAUCACAGUUAAGAUCCAAGAAAAAUCACUCCGGUUAGCUUCUCAACCACCAACUCCUCCAAUUUAAAGCAAACUAAUCUAAGAAAAAGGAAUGGUUGCUCACAUUUAUCAGCAAAUGGUCCAACUAUUAACCAAAAUCUCGACAUUAAGAUCACAAACCGGCAAGCUGACUUAUUCACAUACUAACACAAUCUUUAUUUUAUUUUAUUUUUUUGUUUUUUUUUGUUUUUUUUUUUUGAGGAACAAAAGACUUAGUCUAUAGCCCUUAGAGCAUUUUGACGCGAACUCCAACAUUUGAUAGAUGAAGGAGCCCGGUUACUCAGCUCCAAUCGCUACAGGACCACGCACUCAUAGCAACUACUACCUUUUGACGCGAGAAUCGACACUUUAGGUGAAGAUCCCCGGUUACUCAGUAGUGAUAACUAGCGGAGUACAGUCACCUUUUAUUUACAAUCAUAUAGCACAAUAACUAAAAAUAACAUAAAAAUAACAGCAGCCAGCCUCAAAUUUCAAACAUGGAGAACUAAAAUUAAUAAUUGGACCAAUUCACAUGAAGAAUGCCAAUAAUCAUUCCCUUUGCCUAGAAAAGUUAACCAAAAAUUGGAAAAGUUAAGCAAUUAUUGAUAUUCACCAAAGAGAUGUUCCUGAACUCAACCACAUCAACUUGAUAUUCUUUUAUUAUUAAAACUUGGCAAUAGCAGAAUUAGAGGCAACAAUCCAGCAUCAAAACUUGGUAGUCAUAUGAAGACUGACCACUAAAAAGAAAGAAAAGGAAAUAAACGAAAAAUAGAACAAAUAACAAAAAUAAAGGAAAACAUGUACAAACUAAAAAUUAGAAAUACUAGCUGUACCACAGCUGUCCCCCCCACACCUAUGUCCGACAUUGCCCUCGAUGGAGGUAAUAUAGCAAUUAAAGCGAAGAGAAAAACGAAACUUCCCUCUCAAGCGGCUACGGGAUAGGCGGGAACGGGGAGUGAAGCAGACAUGGUGGAAGUACGCGGCCAGGUUCUUAGAGAUUGGAGCCAUCUGGUUGGCGAUAUGCAUUACUUGCUCAUCCGCGUGGUGAACCUGAUCUCGGAAGUGGCGCCACUUAGCAUCAGAGGCCAUCGGUGUGAGAGGCCACUUACAAAUUCAAAACAAUAACAAUUUAAUAGCCACUGGUGCCUCCCUCGUAGACAACCCAAUCAACAAAAUGCACAACCUAGGCACCUAGAGACUAUACAAAUAUCCCAACAAUACAGCAAUUUCAAUCAAUACUCACUGGUGGCCCCAAAUCAGUCAGAUGUAGAAACAAAGCAGUCCGAGAUUACCAACACAACCAGUACCAUUGGUGCACAUAAGACGAAUAAAUUAUAAGCCAAACACCACAACCAGUACCACUGGUGCACAUGUAGAAAAGAAGUAAAUCACACGGCCAAACCAAACAAUAAAAUGCACACCUAAGGCCCCCAAAGGCCGUAAAGGUACCCCAAUGAACUAAGUAAUUGAGAUGAACAAGACAAAAUAUUCCCACACAAGACAAUUAGAGGCAACCCACUUCAAUAAGCAAAUGCAAAGUCACAUUCAUAUCCCAAUUCAGCAAACGGACGCAGAAAAAGGACCCACCACACCAGAGCACAGCUCCCAACAAUGCAACAAAACAAUAACUCGAACAACGAAGAGCGGUGCUAGUGGCUAAUCAAAAUAACAAAUUCAGCAAUUGGACACAACUCCACCCAAAAUCUCAACAACUGUCUCCAAUUGGACAGUCAAUUACACAGUUCAACCUACUAAAAAUAGCAAAUGACCCAAGAGAGUGGGAAUUCCAGCAAUCAUAGUGCAGAAUUCGGGCAACACUUUAAGCACGAGAGCCCAGUAGUCAAUUAGGCAGUCAAGCACUUAAGAUUAAGAAAUUUGAGGCAAACUACUGCUAUCAGUACCACUGGUAAAUGCUCAAGGAGAAAGUAAAUCAAAUGGCCAACCCAAAUUCAAUCCACACAGAUGAAAAAUAGAGGCCUCAAGCAGGUAAAACCAAAUCAAUAUUCAACAAUGUAAUCAUUAUCAGAAAAUACGCCCAAAUGGAGCAGUAAAGAAACGUAAUUCCACCCUAAAAUUAACCCCAGAAAAUGUUCAAAUCACCUCCUGCGUUAUCCAUCAAGAAACCCACAAAGAGGCACAAAACCCAGCACCUGAAGAUUCAGGAAAAAUGCCAAAACAAGGGUAGAAAGUUAAUACCUCCACCUGUCAAAAUUGACAGGUGGUGACGCGCGGCAAGGGGAAAACAGAGAGACGGGCGGCGCACGGCGUUGUCUGGUGGCGUGGCGGACGGCGGCGGCGGCGGACGAACGACGUGGGCUGAGCGAGAGGUGGAGCGCGAGGGUGAGUAAGGGAGAAAAGAGGGCGGCGCUGGUUGUCCGUGGGCUACGUGCGGUGUGCGGAGCAGAGGAGGAUGUUGCUGAUGGUGUUGCGAGUGGGUAGGAGGAGCUGUGCGCAGGUGAAGAUUCGGCCGUGGGCUGUGGGUGAAGCGGAGGAAACUCCUGGCGGCGGGUUGGUGGUAGCGGCAGGCGGCGGGCGCGCGCCGUGGGCUGCUGGUGGAGCGCGAGCUCAGGCGGAGCUGUGCACUCGGCUGUUGGCUGCGCGCGCGAUGGGAGGAGAGGGGCGCGGCGCUCGGCUGGUGGAGGUGGAGGUCCGUGGUGGAGGUAGAAGCUGCGAUUAGCUGGUGGAGGUGCACCAGCGAGGUGGGUGGCGGACGAUGGAGGGCAGCCGAAAGAAGAAAUAAAAGAAAAGGGAAACAGGGCAGCGGGGAAGAAAGAAAGAAAGAAAGAAGAAGAAAGAAAGAAAAAGAAAAAGAGAAAGAAAGAAAAAAAAAUAGUUUUUGGAUUUUUUUUUUUCAAUGUUUUUUUUCCAAAUUUUUUCCCGAAUUUAAAUUUUCCAAAUUUGAAUUUUUGAAGAAAAGGAAAGAAAAAAAAAUGCUUUUUGAAUUUUUGAAUUUUCUCAAUGUGAAAUUUUAACUCUUUUUUUUUUUUUUCAAGGAACCUCUGGCUUAGGCGUGGGCACGUCUAACUGCUAUAGAGUCCGCAGAUCCUGAACGAAAAUUUCUUUCCCUCAGGCGUGACCACCUGGCGUGGGCACGUCUAACUGCCACUUUCCUGCCACCAAGCAACAAAUCACUAAAUGCAACUAACACUUAACAAAAACUCCAAAAACAUAAGAAAAUUAAAACAAAAGCCUUGGGUUGCCUCCCAAGCAGCGCCUUUCUUUAAUGUCUUUGGCUAGACAUUGUCCUGUUUAUUCAUGGAGGAUAAAAUCGCGUAGCUCGCUUCAGUGCUUCAUCUUCUAUGUGAUCCUGAUAGCCCUCGUAAAUAGAGUAAUUCUUGAGCACACGAGCUACGGUCUUCCAUGGACCAGUAGAUUGCGCCAAACAACCAAGUAAUGACCUUAAAUCUUCAUUCACUCCUCCAUCACAAGCACCUACUGGUUUGAGAUAUUUUGCCAUCGUGACUCUUAACUUGUUCCUGUCAUGAAACUCAAAAUUUUCUGGUAUAAUAAAAUCAAUCUCACUAACAGAAAUUAAAGAAUAAGAGUCAGGAAAAUAUUGAUCAAGAAAUGGAGGAGAUGUCACCGCAUUUGGAGAUUGUUCAUUGGAUUCAUUCACUUGAACCAUUUGAUGUUGGGGUCUCAAUUCUUGCGCUUCAACUUUCUUUUCAACUGCAUCUUUAGAUUCUUUUUCUUGAGACCCUUGCAAUACCAUGUCCUUUGUCAGAAUAAUUGCACUCUCAUCUUCCUCAUGGUCGAUAAUAGUCGGUGAGGGCAAUUCUUCAUAAACUGGAGAAAUCAAUUUGCUCAUUUUAGAUGCCCAUUCACACCUUCUUUCUUUCAUCUCUUCACUCAUCUUUUGUGUCUCCUGUUGAAGUUGAUGUACCUCCUGUUGAAUUUGAUAUGUGUUAGUAGCUAUUAAUUCAACCAUUUCUUCAAGAGACAUACCUGACAUGGAUGACGGUUCUUGAGACUCUAGCUGUUGAAAAUCUAGUGGCCCUGUUGUAUAAUUAUAACUGGAGUUAUCCCACCAUCCUUGAUCAUACCCGUUUGGAUUAGGGUUAUACCACGUUUGAGACCAUGGUGAAAAAUCUCCAUAAUUAUUGAGUGGGACACUUAGAUUAUCUUGAUAUUCGGGGCACAUACCGGUCGAAUGAUCCCUGGCAUAACAAAUUUUACAGGUUGCAGCAGCCAUUUUUUCCCUAAUAGAGUUUACUGCCUCUGAAUAUGCAAACUUAGCAAAAAAAACUAGUCUCAUCGCCUUCCCCGGAAACAAAAUCCAGUCUAUCACCAAAAUACGGAGUGUUAGAAGCCAUAAACUAUAAUAAAAAAAUAAGAGAAAAAUAAAUAAACAAUAAAAAAAAUAAAAACAAGAUGAACUCAAAAAGAAACAAAUUAAUCUGGCACCAGUCCCCGGCAACGGCGCCAAAAAUUGACAGGUGCCGAACCUGUGCAAUAAUAAAUACCUACUCGAGAAAAAUACAGAUUUUGUAUAUAGCGGUGAGUAGGGUCGAAUCCACAGGGACAAGGGAUAAUUCGUUUCUUCUAGAGUCCAAAGUAUGAGGGGUUUUGGAUUAAAUGCUAACUAAAUAAAUUAACUGCAGAAAAUAAUUGAUUAAGAGAAAUAAUUAAGGGAAAACUCUAGCCAAGGGUACACAUCAGAAAUGGUUCAUGCACUGAUCAUUGAUGCAGAAAUAAUUCCAACAUUUAGCAAUAGAUUAGUUAUAGUUGUCAUGCACGCGAUAAACAACCAACCCUUCCUUAAUUUCUCGUUAGCUAAGGUACGACCGUUAGCUAUUUCUCUAACCCAAAAAUAACCCUAGGUACGACCGUAGGAUUUAAUUUCUAGAUUGCAUUAAUAAUUAGAAAGGCCCAAUCCUAACCAACAAACACGCUACGAGAGUUUGUUUAAAUUAGAUCAUAUGCUCCCCUGACAUAAAUCCAAUUACGCCAGUUGCUACUGAGGUAGAGAUAACGAACAAUUACGGAUUCAAUUACCCAUAUUUAGCAAAAAUAGCCUAUAUGAAUAAUUAAUUAUUUCGCACUAAUCAAUCAUACACAAGGCCAUAGCAAUUAAAAUCAAGGAACAUAUAAAUACCAAUAAAUGAAGAAAAUAAUUAAAACAGAUUCGAUCUCACAGUAAUUGUCGAACCAAAUCGUCAGUUGUCCCCUUGACUAGAAAAGCUUAACCACGCCUCAUGAGAAAAUCUCCCCGUUGGGGAAUAUUGUCGAAUACCUGGCGUGUGCCAGAGGCCAGUCCAAAGAAAGAAAACUAGAACUAAACUAAAAAACUAAAACUAAAGCCCUAGAUAUCUUUUGCUUCUGUCCGUUGUCCCCUUUUAAAGCAACAAAAGAAAGAUGACUAAAAGCUAUCUAGGUGGUCCCCACACAUAUGGACAAAGCCUCCCAAGUACUUCUUGUUUCAAGUCUCUCUACGUUGCUUUCUUUGAAGCCCAAAUGACCAAAUGUUUUUCACUAGCUUGUGGUCCCCCACCAAUUCAAGGGCCCAAGGAUUGAAACCCUUAGAAGUCUCCAUAUUUUUCACAAAGUCCCUCCUUUUUUGUAGUUUUCUGCUUCAUUCCUGAAAUUGAUUCCAAAUACCAAAUAUGAGUAAAUAUCAGCAAUUAACACAAUAUUUGUCAGGGAUAAAAGGGAAAAUUAAUAAUAAAAAUACUAACAAAUUAUACCCUAUCAGUGAGGAGGGGAGGGGUUGCUGCUAGCUUGAUGUUGGUGGAAGAAAGGGAAACGUGAUUUGAACUCUAGGCAGGGUCAUGGAGGGGAAAGGAAAGAAAGUGGCGGCAGGCAAUGGUUGGCCGGAAUGGCGAGGAACAGGAAGGGUGUCAAUGCUUAACAACUACUCAAAAAACUGAAAAAACACUCCAAAAAAAAAAUAUAAAGUUAUUUUUAGCUAAUAAAGCCUAUGGUAAAAUAUUUUAGAAACACUUAAUCCAAGCACAGCCUGAAAUUUUACAAUUCUCUACUGCACCCCUUAAUUUUCUCGAGUUUUGUUCAUUUUCUACAUUGCGCCUUAGAGAACUAAAUCCCUUUUUCCUUUUAACUAAAUCUUUUACCUUUAAUCUGUUAAAAAUUUAUAACGUCACUACAUCAAUAAGUAAAAUCUGAAUAAACUUUAACUUUAGUGAACUAAAAAUUGUUCGACCCGAUCAAGUAACCAUGUUGAUUAGAGAAAAAGUGCUUUAGCUCGUUUAAACAAUUCGGCUAGUCAAAAUUUUAUUUUUACACUCUGCCAUCACCUAGUUAUGCCCAUUAAGUGUUUGAAACUCCAACCAUUUGGACGUAUUUGACAUGGACAAGUAUUAUUGCAUGGAUCAAGGAACGGGUGACUACAGCAGAAUAGAGUAUAAAUACUAAUAUAAUACUAAUGUAAACAGUAAUAUGGUAAAUGUAGACACUAAUACAAUAAGAUUAAAAAUUACAACAAAUUUUUGGACUCAAAUUUUAAUGAGACAGAAAAUUUAUUGUGCUUUUACCUAUUUUUGUAUUAAUAUUUACAUCUAUUAUUUAAUGUCUACAUUUAUUUUUAGAGUAACUUUUAUAUAUUGUCAGUAUAUAUAUUAUUACAGUUGGAUGGAUGACACAGGAACAAAUUUUGCACAUAUGUCAUAUACUUAAGGGUGAUAGUGUAUAUACUAACCGUGUAUGUAAGAUUAAUCCCUAUUUUAUAGUGUCUACAUUGCACUCUACUGCCAUUACUAAUUUUUAUUGUGUCUACAUUCAUUUUUGUACUGGAUAUGACAAUAUAAACCACUAAUCCUUAUUGCAUGAUACAAUAAUUAAUGGUUUCUAUCAUCAUGGUUUACUAAGAACAAAAAAGAACUACACUAAUUAAAUAAAAGUAGGGCGGAUUCACUAUGAAAAGUUCAUAAUUUCCGUUUACUUCCCACAUGUAAAUAAAAUUUACUCUUUUGUAACGACGGUGACAUCGAACCACUUCUUAUGACAAAGAUCCUCUGUCACAGGGGAACAUAAUAUAGCAACCUAUGGACUAUUCUUAAGAUGAAAACGACUGGCAUGUAGUAAUAUAGUCCAAAGAUUACUAUUAGUUGAAACUUUUCAAGGUAAUUAACUAUUCCACAGUCUUUGACGAUCGACUUAAGAACUAAAUAUCUAUUUUUGACACCCAUGGAGAAAAAGAAACUUCUGUGCUAAUCAUCUAGCUAAAAUGAGUCUCAACGUGCCAAAUAAGUCUUCCAAAGUUCACGGGAACCACUAGAAUCUCUUAAAGGAUUAAUUUUUUAUGUACUGACAGUGUAGUAAAUUUUUUAUACUAACAGUUUUAGAUAUAUGUUAUAUGCACAUAAUUUAGAUUUCAAAUUUGAAUUCAUAUAUGUAACGGAAUCUAAAUAUGUUAGUGUAAAAAACAAAAUUAUACACUGACAGUAUAUAAAAAAGUUAUCCUCUCUCAAAUCUCUUCUUGUUUUAGAUGUUGUUUGUGUUGCGAUACCUGGUUUCGUUCCAAUGUAACAAGUCAGUCCAUUGGAUCCAAAAAAGCAAAAGAGAAAGAGGAAAUAACAUCUAUAUCUGAAAAUAGCAAGCCAACAAUCAUAUGGAAAUAGUAUGAGUUAUAAAAUAUAUAUUAGCCUGUAAAAUAAGAAGAUGUGUGAGGAUCCCUAAGGUCCCUAUAAGCAAAGCAUAUUAUUUCGAUUGCGUAAUCACAAACACAAUUUCUAAUCAACUUUUUAUAUUUUCAAUCACAUUUUUAUCUCAUAUAGAUCACAUUCCAAAAAGUAUUACAGUAUUUAUUCUAAAUAAUAUUUGAAGUAAUUUCCUAUCCAAACACACUCAAUUAAUUCUUUGAAAAAUUUUGAGAAAAAAAUUGCUGCUUUUGACUCCCAUGAAUUAUUCUUCGAAAUAAUUAAUAUAGUUAAGACUGGGACAGCUUUCCAUAUUAAAUGGGUUCAAAAGUAACUAGUAUAUCUUUUCUUUGAAUAAAUUGUAAACUCAGAUUUGCCCAAUGUAUGGCAAAUACAGGUCAAGAGAAAAAGUUGAUAUGAAUAUGCAGAGACAUCGUACUCCGCAGCUAAGGUUGUCACCAACAAAGGAUUCUUGCACUUCUUGAUGCCUUUGACGUCCCAAGAAUUAAAUAGAGUGAUAAUUGGGAAAAAUUUUAUCUUCUUCAAAAGCAACUUUAUCUAAUCUUUUUGAUGUGCAAAAAGCAGCAUUCAUUUUGCUUGCAGCAAAAUGUAUCUAUGAACGAUUUGCUUAAGAUCUCACAACAUUAAAUUGAAUUCGCAUUCUUUUUUUAGUCACACCCUAAAGUUCACUUUGCCACUAGAUAAUUCCGGAAUAGGUCCUGAAAGGAGUCUGCAAUGUUAUUAUUAAGAUUUAAUCUCAAUAUGAGGCUCAUAAACACCUUAUUCAGAAAGAAAAGUAUCUAAGCAUACGUUACAUUCAAAAGUAACUUUUCUUUGAUAAUACAUUUAGAUGCAAUAUUAGCAUUAUAAAAAUUCGAAAAAUGUUAUUUGUACUCCAUAGUUUGUUAUUUGCAGUCUCAUUCUUUAUUUUAUCAUAUAAAUUAAUAUAUGAAAAAUAUAUAAUUAAAAUGGUAGUGAAAGUAUGAUUAACAAAAAUAGAAGUGCAAAUAACGUUUUCCUAGAAAUUGUUCGUAAGGAAACUCUUAUUAUACAUAUCAAUUGUCUAUACGUUCCACUUGCUUCUUAAAUCAUGGUUAAGAACUCUUAUUACCCACGUCAAAACCAUAGUUCUAUUGUUACAUAUUCCAUUCCUCUUUCUGGGCUCUUCUUUCCAUUUCCUCCUCAAGUUUGGAAAGAAAACAAAGAGUAGUAGUGUGAGAUUUUUCUUUAUAUUACAAGAUUGUGCUGCCAUUUUCCAGUGGACUUUCAUAGUUCAAUCUGCAUCGAAUAAUUAAAUCUUGUAUAGAUACGGAAGAAAAUGGCAUUGCAUUGCUUUAGUUGUAGUAAUGAUAUUACAAUUAAUCACGAGAACAUAUUCAUUUUACUGGUAUACUUUUUGCAGCUUAAGCAGAAAACAAAGAAAAGAAAAAAGGACAAAAAAGUAGCUCUCAUUUAAGUUUUGACAGCAGAAUGUGGGUUGAAACUUUGAAUCUGCAUGGCUGGGUUUAUAAGCAGCAGCAUCUCUACUGUCCACCACCUUCUCCACCGCUGCCGGAACCACUACCAACACCAACGCCCUUGCCAGCACCAGCACCAGCCCCUACGCCAAUGCCUACUCCAACCCCAACACCAAUUCCACCUCCAUGGCCACCUCCUAAACCACCACCUCCAGCUCCACCUCCUACACCUCCACCAGCUCCAAAACCACCACCAUGGCCUGAUCCUCCCCCUCUUCCUCCACCACCACCACCUCCAAAUCCUCCACCUGCCCCACCUCCAACACCUCCUCCUGCACCGAAUCCACCACCGUGGCCAGAACCACCUCCAAUGCCGCCACCGCCUCCACCUCCACCUGCUCCUCCUCCAAUGCCACCCCCUACUCCACCUCCUGCUCCAAACCCUCCUCCAUGCCCAGAGCCACCACCAAUGCCACCUCCUCCACCGCCACCACCUCCUCCUCCAGCACCUCCACCAAGUCCUCCAGCACCACCACCUACACCUCCACCAGCUCCAAACCCACCUCCAUGACCUGAACCACCUCCAAGGCCACCGCCUCCACCACUACCCCCUCCUCCUCCUCCACCAGCACCACCACCAAGUCCUCCACCACCACCUACACCACCUCCAGCUCCAAAUCCACCACCAUGACCUGAACCGCCUCCAACACCACCACCUCCACCUCCUCCAAACCCUCCUCCUCCACCUACACCACCUCCUGCACCUCCACCAACACCACCUCCUGCUCCAAACCCUCCACCUUUACCUGCACCACCCCCAACUCCUCCACCACCUCCACCACCAAAACCGCCACCUCCACCUACUCCACCUCCACCACCAAGACCUCCUCCAGCUCCUCCACCAAAACCUCCACCACCUCCACGUCCACCUCCAAAUCCAGGACCUCUUCCUCCUGGUCUUCCAAAUCCACCACGUCCACCACCAAAACAACCUCUCCUUCCAAAUCCACAAUCAUUAUCUCCCCACGUCUCUUUUUCUAUCUUGCUAUCUCCAAAAGCAACUACAUUCAAUUCUAACACCACACUCAAGAUAAGAAGAAGCACGCAAAACCAUUUUUGAGAAGAACCCAUAAUGCUUACAAGAAUUCAAACUUGCUUUGCUCUACUGGCCUUUAGACGUGGGUAUAUAUAGAGGCUUAAUUCCUUAAAGGUACUACCAAAAGUAGUAAGUUGGCAAUAGGGCUUUCAAUUCUCACUACGUAAUUAAUGCAUGCACUGUUGCAUGGCUUGUACGACGCGUUCGAGUUGUUGGGGAGAUAAGAGAAAUUGAGGCGGGAACAUUAAAUGAAGAGAUAUUCAAAGUCAAAUCCAAUGGAUCGCUUGUGCUUGUUUUCAAUUCCACCGACAAGGAUUUACUAAGUUAUUUUACUCCAAAUUGACACGCUACGAUUAAUGCAUAUGGAAACUAUGGUCACUGGGGCCAAUCGGCCAUAAAUUUCUUCUUAUAUCCACGUUCUUGAAGUAAAUGGCCUUCCCCUUUAAACCUUUCUACUUGUUUUUGCAAGUGUAUUAUUAUUAUUAGUUUGUAUCCUAUUAAGUGAAACUAGGUAUAUCUCGGAUGAUGGGUUUAAUAAUUGUUAGAGCAAUUGCUGAGGGCAAUUAAUGAUAAAAUUCCAGCAUUUUGAUAAUGAAUGGUAAAGUUGAAAUUUGAAGAAAAUUUGAUUCUGUAGUAGUUCAAUAAAUAGAUAACUUAAAAUAAAUUUACACAGAAAAAGAAAAAGAAAAAGAAAAUCUAUGGUAGUCAUUUGAAGUUAUGUUAAGUUCAUCAAUAGAGCGUGUUUUGUUGGAAAGUAUUGGUUAUUUGCUGCAAUUAGCAAGUUUUAUUAGGCUUCAAGUGUAAGCGCGUGUGUGUUUUUUUUUCCUUUUUGGAGAGGUUAGUAUCUUUUUACCCUUGUUUUGAGGGUCAAAGAGGAAUACUUAAAGUUGCAAGAAAAUGUUUAAACCUCUAAAAACUAUGUGUAGAGAUAGAUUUUUUUUUUACAAUUUUAAUAUCUGCAUUUAUUAUUUUAAAAUUACUAUUUUAUGAUCUAUAUUGUCUAAUGCAAUAUGCAUUUGGCACUACAAUUGUUGAGGUCAAAUAUUAAAACAAGAGUAAAUAGUGACAAUGUAUACACAAUCACCGUUAGAUUCAUGAUAUGUGUACAAAAGUUGAGUUUCAAAUUCAAAAUUUGCAUAGUUGUCAUUCAUCUAACGCUGAAGCGUAGAAAAGAUUCAUUAUUAAAACAAUACCAAGCCAAUUAUUAGGAUGGAAGGAUUACUAGCUACUUAAAUGUAGCCAUUAUACUGUCAAUAAAAAAAAAUGUAGCCAUUGUCAAAUACUGUCGAAUAAUUAGACUUUAACGUACAUUGGUCAAGUUUAAAUUUCUUUGACAUAAAUAUCCAUUAAUGUACGUUUGACAAGAUCAAAUUUCAAUGUCAACGACCACGGAAAAUCUCCAUACUGGCGAUCUGAUCGCCGUUAUGGGAAAAAAAGCGGCGGAUCCUGAUGCAUUUGCACUUUUUAAUUGAAAAUAAUACUAACAAAUAAUGCUAAUUAGUUUAUACCAAUUUAGGAAUAACUAAGAUGCAUUACCUUUUCACAAAAGAAAAAGAAAAAGAUGCAUCACCCAGUUAGUUUUUAUAUGAGUGCAUCUGUAUUUACUUUGAAGUAUAUGGUUUUCGAAAGUAUUAUUUUCAAGCUUAAGACUCAUGGUUUUUUUUCUUUUUUCUUAUUUUUUUUUUGCAUGAGAAAAGAGAAAUAAAGGUUUGGUAUUACUGUGAGAUUACGUCUCCUUUUUUGACUUAAUUUUUCCUACCAUUAUCUUCCAAACAUGUUCUGAAAUACUCUGUUUUAUGUUUACCGUUGGUAUCUAUAUUUAGCCAUGAAGCUAGAACCCAAAAGAACUUCACUGAUGAAGGUAAAUAUUAGGGCGAUUCUGGUAGCUUAAAUGCCUUUAGGGUGCAUCAAGAUUUGAGGGGAAAGAUAAUUGGAUUUAAGCUUUGACAAGAAUUGUGAGAUUGUUUGUAGUAUUUCUACGGCAAAAAUGGCCCCUGGAUUUGGCUUAAAAUGUUGUAGAAUAACUAUCUGAAAGUUAAUAAUUAGUCCAAAUUUCUGAAAGUUAAUAUUUUCUAUUCUGAUUUUGAAGUUUUUGUUCUAAUCUAAUUUCUGGUAAUUUAACUAUUUAGGAAAUUAAGCGGUUAUUUGGUAGUUUAUUUCCUGCUUGUUUCUUGUUUUCAAAUUUUUGUUAUUGUAUUUAGUUGCAAAGAGCGUGAGGCAAAAGAGAGACUAGUGAAAGUUUGAGUAUUGUAAAGGCAAUUUUGUUUAGAUUAUAAACGUUAGAUCAAUACUAAACCUAUUCCACCUUUUCUUCUUUUGUAAAACGAAGGCCAAUGUCUAGAAGGACAUUUAGCACUUGGACGAGAAGCUCCAGAUUCUCAUCAAACCGAAGGAAAUAGCACACGGUAGAGACAAAAUCAGCUGUCAAUGAAAUCAGUUUUAACAAAAAGAUUGGAAUUAAUUAAUAAGCCUGUUUUGGUAUAAUUUUGAAGAGCCAAACGAGGUCCAAAUGUUUCAGUAAAUUCGCAUCAUUUUGGUUCUUCAGUAAAAUUUACGCAUAAUAAAAAGUUUCCUUUUGGAAGUAAAAAAUAUAUAUUUUUUAAUCAAACGAUAACAUUAUAUAGAUAUUAACACAUGAAAAUACAAGGGUUAAUUACAAAAAUGGGUAACUACCCCCAUAUCUUUUCUAGCAAGAACAGUUAACCAUGUUGGAAAUGAAGCUUGCCAAUCAAUGGUUUUAACCACCUUGGUUGCAAAUUGAGCCAUUGCAUGACUGCAGCCAUUCGCACUUCUGGGAACAAAAGAGAAAAUACAACUGUCAAAACUAGUCUUUAGGGCCUCAAUGUCUUCUAGGAUUGUUUGUAACUUACAAUCCUGAACAUUGCCUUCAUUAAUCGAGCUCACAACGUUUCUGCAGUCCGACUGGACUUCUAUCUUUGUCCAUCCUACAGCUUGAGCCAUUUCCAGCGCACUUCGGAUUGCUAAUGAUUCCUCCGUGUCAGCUUCCCCUUUUUUCCUUCUACUAAUCCCUCGGACUUUCACUAGAUCUCCUCGCCAGUUCCGUGCAACAAUUCCCAAUCCGGUCCUGACCAUUUUUGCUGAGAUUGCUGCGUCCGUAUUAAUUCUCACUACUCCAUCCUUUGGUGGCUCCCAAUUAUGCUGACUCAAUCUUUCCUGCUCUGUUGAAGCGAAUCCUCGGGGUUGAGGAACAGUUGCCUCUUCAAAUUCGAUCCACUCUUGCUAGGCUUUGUCAAUUAUCACUUUUGCAUCCUCGCUCUCCAGCUGGAAUACUCUCUUGUUUCUCGCCUUCCAGAGUUGCCAAAGGAUAUUUACUGUGAACUUGAUGCGGUCCAUUCCUUGGGCCACCUUUGCUGAUUCCAUCACAGCAUCCCACCACCUCCACAUGUUGCAUUGUAGCUCAACUAUCCCUUCCCAACUCACCGGAGCUAGCCUCCAAACCAUUUGAGCUGUUGGACAAAAAAAGAAUACAUGUUCAAUGGUUUCCGUAGCCUCACCACAACAUUGGCACAGAUUGCUUCCUUUCCCAACUCUUUGGUAGAGAGCUUCACUAGUAGCCAGCCCAUUUUGCAAACACCUCCAUAAAAAAUGCUUGAGCUUCAUUUUGAUAUUUAAGCCCCACAAUCUUUUCCACACCGUGUGCUUCCUAAUUGCCCAGCUAGUCUCAGAGUCAGGUGCUAUCCUGUGGUUCAUAGUCUCCCUUCCCCCUUUGGCAAUAACGUAGCCUGUUCUGACUGUAUAAACACCAGACUUGCUAUGCAACCAAUACAAUCUGUCUUUCCUUUCAUAUAGACUAAGAGGGAUGUUAGUUAUGAGUUCCACAUCAUCUAUGUUAAACCAGCGAUGCAAAGUAUCAGUCUUCCACCUACCCUCCUCUAUUAGUUCAUGGACACACUCAAGUUGACACCCUGCUGGUUUUGCCGUAGUUAAUUUCCCAUUGCACGAUCUAGCUACCCAUCUGUCUUCCCAGAUUUUAAUUGACCUUCCAUCUCCUACCCUCUUGUAUAGGCCCUGCUGAAGCAGCUCACCUCCCUUGUGUAAACUUUUCCAGCACCAAGAUGCUGUGCUCGGGGGCUUUUGAACAAGCCAGUCAUUCUUUUUCAUGUACUUAGCUUUCAGAACCUUGCUUACUAACAAAUUCGGAUUUGUAACAACUCUCCAAAUUUGUUUUUCAAGCAAGGCAACAUUAAAGGCUUCUAAAUCUCUAAAGCCCAAUCCCCCUUUCCCUUUAACUUCAGUAAGCUUACUCCACCUCACCCAAUGCACUUUGUUCUCUAGACCACCCCCGCCCCACCAGAACCUGGCAAUAGUUGCACUAAUACCCUUGCACAAGCCUUUAGGGAGCUUAAAACAAGACAUUAUAUAGGUAGGCAUGGGCAUGAUGACAGAUUUGAUUAGGAUCUCCUUACCCCCUUGACUAAGCACUUUAUGUUUCCAUCCUUGGAGUUUGCUAAUGAUGGUACUUUUCAGGGACCCAAAAACCUGAUUCUUAGCUCUCCCAAUAGUCAUAGGUAAUCCUAAAUAUUUCCCACUAGAGGCUUCCCUCAUAUUGCCCAAAACCUCCCUAAUCUCUCCUCGAAUCCUGUUGGGGGUAUUUUUAGUAAAGAACAUGGCUGAUUUAUCAAAGUUUACUACCUGUCCCGUGGCUUGUCCAUAAGUCUGAAUGAUCUCCUUUACCUUCUUAGCCUCCUCCUUGCUUGCUUUGCAACACAAAAGAGAAUCGUCUGCAAAAAAGAGAUGAGAGAUCAUAGGGCUGUCUUUGCAGACUUUGAUGCCCGUUAGUUGCUUAGAAUCCACAGCUUUCUUGAUUAAAUUGGGCAGCCCUUCCAUGCAUAUAAUGAACAAGUAGGGGGAUAGGGGAUCCCCUUGACGGAGACCUCUAGAUGGUUUGAUAUAGCCCACCUUUUGUCCAUUCAAAUUAAAAGAAUAAGAAACAGUGGAGAUACACGUCAUGAUCCAGCGAACAAAAGUAGGACAAAAGCCCAUAUGUAACAUAAUUCUGCCUAGAAACCAAUUUGGAAGUAAAAUAUGUUAGAUGCCAAAUUUACACAAUAUUUGUCAAAUUAGAUUCACGGAAAUCAGUGAGCUGAGCAUCGGGUUUUAUAGGUCUCGUUACGCAAGUGCAUAAAAUGACGGAUGAUUAGCAGAUCUUGCACAAAAAGGGAACAAGGAAAUCUGGAAGUGUUUAAUUAGUAGGGCAUGAAAAUCAUGCAGUAGUUAUUUAUUUAAUAGGACAUACGUACUUUUUUUUUUCCAAGAUUUCCAUAAUAUGCAACUGAUUUAUGGAAAUUAACGAGCUCCACCCCACCAUUUAUAGGCCAGGGAGGUAAUACUUAGACAUGGGAUUCAAGAAAACAAAGUACAACACUUGAACUAGUCCUGCAUGGACAUAAUUAAAAUCCACCACCACUACCACCACCUCCUCCGAAUCCUCCACCGCCUCCAACGCCUCCACCUCCUACACCCGCUCCAGCACCAAAUCCACCACCAUGUCCAAAACCUCCUCCGAGGCCUCCUCCUCC
rnacentral:lncRNA from 1 species